CAGUAGCCGCGGUAAUACAGAGGGUGCGAGCGUUAAUCGGAUUUACUGGGCGUAAAGCGUGCGUAGGCGGCUUCUUAAGUCGGAUGUGAAAUCCCUGAGCUUAACUUAGGAAUUGCAUUCGAUACUGGGAAGCUAGAGUAUGGGAGAGGAUGGUAGAAUUCCAGGUGUAGCGGUGAAAUGCGUAGAGAUCUGGAGGAAUACCGAUGGCGAAGGCAGCCAUCUGGCCUAAUACUGACGCUGAGGUACGAAAGCAUGGGGAGCAAACAGGAUUAGAUACCCCUGUAGUCCCUGUCUCUUAUCA
rnacentral:rRNA from 1 species